GUUGCCUACGAAAUGAAUGUCAGUUUCAGGGAGGACUUGAAGUAAAAGAAUUUAUUGCAUCUAGUAGCUUUGGAUUUUCAGUCACGAAGAAAAAAUUUCAUUAUUAUUAUGUCAAUUUCUAGAACACUAUAAAUUUUUAUUUCUUAAUUUCGACACCUGCACUUUUUUCGACGCACUGCAAGUCGAUGAGCCUUCUUAGGCAAAACGGGAAAUUCCUCAUGGUCAAGCAGCAAAUCGGGAACUUCUCUUUCGACUAGAAAUUUCACCACUUCGUUGGACUGCGAAUCGGGAAACCUAACCUCUUGGACCUUCGAAUAGAGGGACAACUCCUCUUUAACGGACGUCGAAUCGGAAGAGACCUUCCCAUUGGAAUUAAAAUUUGAACUCCUCAUUGGAAUGGAAAGUCGGAUGGAAAGCCGGGGACCUCCAUAAAGAACGGCAAUUCCAGGAACCCUUUCUUUUCAUCAGACUCAACAUCCUUUUUGUGGGGCUCCAAAUUAAGGAUAUGUUCCAUUUCCUCAGACUCCAAAUCGAGGGUCACUUCCUUCUAGAAAAUGAAGAACCCAUCAUUCCCAGAUUGAAAGACGAAGGCAUCAAGGAACUCUUUUUCAACGUUCUCGUUUGACAGGAAGUCGUGGUACUUUCAACCGUGCAAUAUAUCUUCCUGACAGGAUGAAAGUCGAGCAACACUUCGUUCUCUUGAUACUGCUCUAUUUUCGCCAACAGGCUUAUCCUUCCUCCUGGGUUGGAAAAGCUUCCCAAAACUAAGUAUGAUCGUCCAAGCGAAAAUGACUAACUAAACCGCAGCCGUCGAUUAAGUCAAUUUUACAGUUAGCAGAAAAAACUUAUAAAUUAUCAAUGUCAAUAUGUAGCACAACUUGGUUUCCAGAAUUAAUCUUUCGUCGCACUAUAAUUUUGAAAUUUUUAAUAUAUUCAUGUCUAAAGCUCCAAUA